GCCGGGGUGGCGGAAUUGGCAGACGCACAGGACUUAAAAUCCUGGGUUGGGUGACCAACGUACGGGUUCAAGUCCCGUCCUCGGCA
rnacentral:tRNA from 1 species